rnacentral:lncRNA from 1 species
UCACCUAUUCAACUUAAUUUAAAAAAAAAAACUAAUAAUUUAAUUAUGGUAGAAAAAGCAUUAUAGUAAUUUUAGUUAAUGAUAGUAGGAGAGUAUUUUCAUAAUUAUGACUAUAGGGACAUUAUAAUAACUUUGACCAAUUAUAGUAGGAGGGUAUUUUAAUAAUUAUGAUAAAAAAGACAUUAUAAUAAUUUUAAUUAAUUAUAAAAGAAGUGGUAUUAUAAUCAAUUUGAAUACAUGUUGUUCAAUUAUCAAAUAAUUAGAAAGACAUUAUGACGAUUUAUAAGAGAAUUACUUUCAUGUAAUUGUAUAAAUGUUAAAAGUUAAUAAAUAAUUAUGAAGUAAUUAAAAAAUAUUUUCAUAAUUAUGAUAAAAUAAUAUUAUAGUAAAUUUGACUAAUUAUAAUAUUAUGGGUAUUUUGUAAUUAUGUUAGGAGAAAUAUUAUAAUAAUUUUAAAAAAUUAUGGUAUAAAGGUUAUUUUUUUAAUUAUGGUAGUAGGCAUCAUUGUAAUAUUGUUAAAUUAUGUUAUAAAGGGCAUUAUCGUAAUUUAUUUUAAUUUAUGAUAAGAGUAAUAUUUUUUUAAUUAUGAUAAAAAAUAUUGUAGACAUCAUCAAUUUUUUGUCCGAGUUAAUAAUUUUAUGUUCCAAAUUAAUUUUGAUUUCAGGUUUUAUUUUCAAAAAUUUACCAAAUCGUCUUAAUAUUUAUUAAUUUAAAAAAUAAAAUAAAAUAAUAAAGAAAAAAAAAAGAGAAAUAGAUAGAAAUUGAAGCUUGGUGCCGUGGCACCAACCCCCCUCUACCCUACCCCAAGCCACCUUACCUUGCACCUCUUACCCUUACAACCCCUCUACCUUGCACCUCUUACCAUGGCAGCAAAAAUUAUGCCUUGAUUUCUAGGAUGAGGGGGAAUCAAAUUCUAUAAACCCAACUGAAUUUGACACAAUAGGGGGCCAAUUUCAGACUAUCAAUAGAUAAUAAUACAUAAGAAAAACUAAAGCAAUCAUCCCAUUCAACUUCUACAACAAAGCCCCAUCACCAAUCCCAACCACCGCCAAGAGCUUGAGAAAACCAUCCUCCACAUCUAUAUUACAGAUAGCUCACCACCAAAAGAACCCCAAUCAAGACCUUAUUCAUUGACCGCCAGCCCAACCUUCUUAUGAAACAAAAAAAAAAAAAAAAAACCCACUGCCAAUACUAAUCCCCUACCACUAAAGCACAUCUCCCAUUAACACAUAACUUCCACCGUUGCCAAAUCUCUAAAAGUCAACAAUUUCUAAAACAAUCCCAAACCAAAAAUUCUUUUAUUGUUUACCAAAAAAAAAAAAGAAAACAUAAUCCUCAUUUGCUAGUGUGGAACCUAACAGAAGCAAUCAAAAAAAUCAAUCAAAAAAUUUUAGUGAACCAUAUGGGGGUGAACGGUUGAAGAAAAAAAAAAACCUUUUUCAGCGUGGAAAGGAAAAGGGAGAGGAAAAAAAAGAAUAACAAUAAGAGAAAGGAGAAGGAAGAAGAAAGAAAAGAGCAUGCCAUAAAAGAAAGAAGGGAAGUUUGAGAGGUGUUAUGAGUAGUGUAGUUUAGGUUGAAAAAAAAACAAGAGAAAGAAAGAAGUUUGAAAUGUCAAAAAAGAAAAAAGUGAAAUGAAAUGUUGGAAAGUUGAAUUAACGAGUGGAAAAGGCACGUGAAAGAAAGUCACAGGAUUGCAUUUAGUUGUUUAUUUCAAGCUUUGGGGUUGAACUAGGUGAAGUUUAUCCAAUUUGGGACUAGACAAUUUAGGAGAGCAAGUUAAACUAAUUUGAAUCUAAAUCCUAUAUCUUUAUUAGGGCACUUUUUUUAUUCAGUUAUGUUUUAUAUUUAUUUAUUUAUUUUAAUACUUGUUAAUAUGCAUUUAUAUUAAAUAAAUUUAUUAAUAGAC